rnacentral:tRNA from 1 species
UGGUCUAGUGGUUAAGGCACCAGGCUAGAAACCAGGAGUCUGUGAGUUCUAGUCCCAC